UAUUCUGUCUACUACAGUAUUGAAUGCCCCCCCUUUUUUUGAUGAGGAAGAUUGUCCCUGAGCUAACAUCUGUUGUCAAUCUUCCUCUUUUUGCUUGAGGAAGAUUGUCCCUGAGCUAAUGACUGUGCCAAUCUUCCUCUAUUUUGCAUGUGGGAUGCUGCCACAGCAUGGCUUGAUGCGUGGUGUGUAGGUCUGUGCCCAGGAUCCGAACCCGCGAACCCCAGGCCACUGAAGCAGAGCAAGCGAACUUAACUACUAUGCCACUGGGCCAGCCCCAUUGAAUGCCCAUUUUGAAGAUCAAAGUCCUUUGGGAUAAAGAAAUCUGAAGCAACAAGUCAAGGGAAGGCCAUUGAGAAGGAAAGACAAUGUAAUAUAUGGGAGUGAGUCUGGAUUUUAGCGUUGCUCUUAAAUUGUAGCUUUGCUGUUUAGCAGCUGGGUGGGUAUGGACGCAUUGCUUAACCUAACAGAGCUUCGGUUUUCCUGUUAGAAAAAUGCGGCUAGUGAAACUUAACUCCCAAGGUAGUAAGAAGUAAAGAAGUUAACAAUGGUACUAAGCCUAACAAGUAGGAGGCACUGCAACUAAGGUCUAUUCCAUUUUCCCUUCUUGUUAAUUCUCUUUCUUUCAUAAAUGCAGCAUAAAGCGGAGGCAUCAUGGUGGGAAGAUACUUCUCCUGGAUGCUAUGGAAAAUUAAUGAGGCGAAAUGGUAAACUCAUUAAGGCGAACCUAUGAAGAGUCUCUUAAGGAUAAAAAUGUAAAUUUUAUUGUUUUCCAGUUGCUAGUUUUACAGAAAAUCCACACAAGUUUUUACAGUCAGAACUAUCCCCAGGGAAAUGGUGGCCCUUGA
rnacentral:lncRNA from 1 species